GUCGAACGGUGAACACGGAGCUUGCUCUGUGGGAUCAGUGGCGAACGGGUGAGUAACACGUGAGCAACCUGCCCCUGACUCUGGGAUAAGCGCUGGAAACGGCGUCUAAUACUGGAUACGAACCAUGAAGGCAUCUUCAGUGGUUGGAAAGAUUUAUUGGUUGGGGAUGGGCUCGCGGCCUAUCAGCUUGUUGGUGAGGUAAUGGCUCACCAAGGCGUCGACGGGUAGCCGGCCUGAGAGGGUGACCGGCCACACUGGGACUGAGACACGGCCCAGACUCCUACGGGAGGCAGCAGUGGGGAAUAUUGCACAAUGGGCGCAAGCCUGAUGCAGCAACGCCGCGUGAGGGAUGACGGCCUUCGGGUUGUAAACCUCUUUUAGCAGGGAAGAAGCGAAAGUGACGGUACCUGCAGAAAAAGCGCCGGCUAACUACGUGCCAGCAGCCGCGGUAAUACGUAGGGCGCAAGCGUUAUCCGGAAUUAUUGGGCGUAAAGAGCUCGUAGGCGGUUUGUCGCGUCUGCUGUGAAAUCCGGAGGCUCAACCUCCGGCCUGCAGUGGGUACGGGCAGACUAGAGUGCGGUAGGGGAGAUUGGAAUUCCUGGUGUAGCGGUGGAAUGCGCAGAUAUCAGGAGGAACACCGAUGGCGAAGGCAGAUCUCUGGGCCGUAACUGACGCUGAGGAGCGAAAGGGUGGGGAGCAAACAGGCUUAGAUACCCUGGUAGUCCACCCCGUAAACGUUGGGAACUAGUUGUGGGGUCCAUUCCACGGAUUCCGUGACGCAGCUAACGCAUUAAGUUCCCCGCCUGGGGAGUACGGCCGCAAGGCUA
rnacentral:rRNA from 1 species